rnacentral:rRNA from 1 species
GAUCCUGGCUCAGGAUGAACGCUAGCUACAGGCUUAACACAUGCAAGUCGAGGGCAGCAUGUAACUUAGCUUGCUAAGUUUGAUGGCGACCGGCGCACGGGUGAGUAACACGUAUCCAACCUGCCGAGUGACUCGGGGAUAGCCUUUCGAAAGAAGAUUAAUACCCGAUGGCAUAGUUCUUCGCAUGGUGGAACUAUUAAGAAUUUCGGUCAUCGAUGGGGAUCGCGUUUCCAUUUAGG